CUCAGAAAAGUUCAUAGUAGCUGCUGUUACUGUUGAUAUUGCCAUUGCUAUUUCAUUUAAAGAAAAGCAAGGUUAGAAACAACAAGCCAGCUCUCACUAUCCUCUGAUCAAUGGAAGGUAGUCUAGAGAAUUGCUCCUGAACCUCCCUCUUUUAUUUUUAAAAAAAUCACAUUGACGAACAUUGAUUCCUCUCCCACUAAUGAGAGUCAAAAAUAGAACCAAAGAGGAGACAGGAAGGAGAAAGAAAGAAGAAUGACUCACUGGCUACUUGAGGAAGGAGACCAUGUCAUCAAGAACAAUCAAGUCGCUUCUAAGCAACAGACAUUCAUUGAACUCUUCAUAUGAAGAAAGCAUUAUGACAAAGAAUGGACACCAGAGUGAGCAAGCCACUGCCCAGGCCUCCAGCAACUCUGUCAGUGUGGCAGACAGACACACAGAUUGCUCACUCUAGGGAAAGCCAGUUACCAUGCAAUGAAGAGGAUUAAGCAGCUCUGUGAAGAUACUAAGAGGGCCAAAUAGGAAGGAAGGAAGCUUCCUGCCAACAGUCUGCACCAGACAUGUACUACACUAAGCAUCUAACAGCCCUAUAUGUAGAUGCUCUUAUAAUUUCCAAA